CCUACUUCUAUAUGAUAGUUGUAGCCAUUCAUGUUUCUUCAAGUCAUAAUAGCAAGUCUUCCAUCAAUGGCUACAACUAUCAUAUAGAAGUAGGCAAAUAUGUAACAAAGCAAGCAAAAGAUGUACUUGAAGGGUGGUGGCAUUGAUGGAUGAGCUGAAUUUAAAGAUAAGAAAUUCUCCUACCACUUCAAUUUCUGAUAAGUUAGUUCUGCAUUUCUCUCUUAGGAUUGACAUUUGGGGGCUCAAGCCUGCAAUCCAAGCAUGUUUUUAAUUCCUGUAGCUGAGAGAUCACUUGGUGGGUUUUUGAACGGCAUUUGGAGAGCUUUGGGGCAACAAAUUUGGAGGGAGGUGGGAUUGUUGUUGGUGCUGUUUCUGAAUGGAUUUCCUUUCAACUUCUCUCCACUUGUUGAUCGCCACAGUGCAUAUAAAUCCGGCGCCGACGAAAUACAGCAAUCGGAGAACCUUUGGUCCGGCGGGGCCUGCUGCCUCUUCUAUCGUCAUCUCCUCUCACUCUCUCUCGAGAAGUUGGCUCAAAUCAAGCCUGAUUUUGAACAAAGUCAGUGAGCUUCGAGUUCCGGCCCUCCUAGGCAAGCA
rnacentral:misc_RNA from 1 species